GGGUUGUGAGGUUAAGCGACCAAGCGUACACGGUGGAUGCCCUGGCAGUCAGAGGCGAUGAAGGACGUGCUAAUCUGCGAAAAGCGCCGGUAAGGUGAUAUGAACCGUUAUAACCGGCGAUGUCCGAAUGGGGAAACCCAGUGUGAUUCGUCACACUAUCAUUAACUGAAUCCAUAGGUUAAUGAGGCGAACCGGGGGAACUGAAACAUCUAAGUACCCCGAGGAAAAGAAAUCAACCGAGAUUCCCCCAGUAGCGGCGAGCGAACGGGGAGGAGCCCAGAGCCUGAAUCAGCAUGUGUGUUAGUGGAAGCGUCUGGAAAGGCGCGCGAUACAGGGUGAGAGCCCCGUACACAAAAGCGCACGUGCUGUGAGCUCGAUGAGUAGGGCGGGACACGUGGUAUCCUGUCUGAAUAUGGGGGGACCAUCCUCCAAGGCUAAAUACUCCUGACUGACCGAUAGUGAACCAGUACCGUGAGGGAAAGGCGAAAAGAACCCCGGCGAGGGGAGUGAAACAGAACCUGAAACCGUGUACGUACAAGCAGUGGGAGC
rnacentral:rRNA from 1 species